ACUGUCAGCCUAGUUGAAUCCAUGAGCUUCAGUGAGAGAUCUUUCCUCAAAAAUUAAGGUAGAGAAGCAACUAAGAAAGACAUUUUAUGGUCCAGUUGAGGGUUAGGUUGAAACUUGCCAACAAGUAGAACACUGUACAUUGGACACUCCAGUAACCAUACAUGGCUUCCACUUGUGAACGGUUCUCCAUUUACAUCCUGUGUGAGUACCUGACAGAGAUGGCCCCCGGCGUGUACCCGGUGCAAGGCUAUGUGAUUUCAUUUGGCCUUUAUGGUACCCUGCAUGAGUGGGUGCUGUUAUUAUCUCUAUUUGGCAAAUGAGGGCCUGUCAGAGAAGUUAAUGACCCUGAUGCAAGUUCCCGAGCUGAUCAAUGACAGAGCCAGGGUCAAAAUCUUGAAACCUAUGCUCUAGUCAUUGUGAAAACAGGCAGUGGAGUCCCUAGAGAAGUCUGCAUGUAGAUAGAAAACAGCUGCGUAUGGAGGUAGCUCUUGGUUAGAUGGAGGGGUGAGUACUCUCUACAGUGGCUGGAGGUGAAGCUUAGUGAGCCAUGGAAUCUUGACUUUGCCUUUUACUAUUAUUAAAGGCAUCUGACACUUAUUCAUAAUCUAACCUCUGUGUGUCAGUUUCCUCCAUUAGCACUUACCUUAUGAUGUUGCCUUAAGGAUGGUGUCAUUGAUUGAGGCCUGCACAUAUCCUCAGGACUCAAUGAUAGCUUCCUAAAGGAGGCCUGUGUCUUUUGCAGUAUCUUAUAUCUAAGGUUACCCCCACUUAGUAUUUUUAAAGUAUUUCCAUCUCUGUUAAUGAAGACAAAUAGUCUUGAAGUGAGAAGGGCCAUGAUGGGAAGGAUCUUAAGAGCAUCUUUGAGGGAGGGAUGGGAUGCAGGAGGGGAUGUCCCACGACUGGCAGCUUAACUCUCCAUGAUGGAUAAUUGAACUCCACUUACUGUAAUUGUAGGUGAGCACAUGGCCACAAGCAAGUCACAUAUGUAGAUCAGCCUUGCCCAAAUGCCAUCUCAAUGAAUGGGCCCCGAAUGACAAAUUGAAAAUUUGGCUCGGCAGAAAGGAACAUAGAAAAAUACAAGAAAUAAAGUCGGCCUAGGCAACUAAAGACUGACUUACAAACUCCACCUUAAUUCCCUAUACUCUUUUUCCCCAUUAAGCAGCAUAGCACAACCAUUAUGAAAACCAGAGAGGAAGUGACAUUUCUUUAACAAUCUUGAAGG
rnacentral:lncRNA from 1 species